rnacentral:rRNA from 1 species
CCUACGGGAGGCAGCAGUGAGGAAUAUUGGUCAAUGGACGAGAGUCUGAACCAGCCAAGUAGCGUGAAGGAUGACUGCCCUAUGGGUUGUAAACUUCUUUUAUAAAGGAAUAAAACGAGGCACGUGUGCCUUUUUGCAUGUACGUUAUGAAUAAGGAUCGGCUAACUCCGUGCCAGCAGCCGCGGUAAUACGGAGGAUCCGAGCGUUAUCCGGAUUUAUUGGGUUUCAAGGGAGCGUAGAGGGGUUUUUAAGUCCGUUGUGAAAGUUUGCGGCUCAACCGGAAAAUUGCAAUUGAUACGGGCAGUCUUGAGUCCAGUUGAGGUCGGCGGUAUUCGUGGUGUAGCGGUGACAUGCUUCGAUAUCAC